ensembl:snRNA U6 U6 spliceosomal RNA
GUUCUCAUUUCGGCAGACAUGUACUAAAAUUUGAACAAUACAGAGAAGAUUAGCAUGGUCCCUGAGCAAGGAUGACAAGCAAAUUCGUGAAGCAUUCUGUAUUUUU